rnacentral:rRNA from 1 species
UACGUAGGGGGCAAGCGUUGUCCGGAAUCAUUGGGCGUAAAGCGCGUGUAGGCGGCUGAGUAAGUCUGCUCUGAAAGCCCGGGGCUCAACCCCGGGAGGCGGGUGGAUACUGCUCAGCUCGAGUCCGGAAGAGGAGUGUGGAAUUCCUGGUGUAGCGGUGAAAUUCGUAGAUAUUGGGAAGAACACCGGUGGCGAAGGCGGCUCACUGGCUCGUAACUGACGCUCAGGCGCGACAGCGUGGGGAUCAAACAGG